CCUACGGGUGGCAGCAGUGAGGAAUAUUGGUCACUGGACGAGAGUCUGAACCAGCCAAGUAGCGUGAAGGUUGCAUGCCCAUUGGGUUGUAACCUUCUUUUAUAUGGGAUUAAAAUGUUCCACGUGUGGGAUUUUGUAUGUACCUUAUGAAUAAGGAUCGGCUAACUCCGUGCCAGCAGCCGCGGUAAUACGGAGGAUCCGAGCUUUAUCCGGAUUUAUUGGGUUUAAAGGGUGCGUAGGUGGAUUGUUAAGUCAGUUGUGAAAGUUUGCGGCUCAACCGUAAAAUUGCAGUUGAAACUGGCAGUCUUGAGUACAGUAGAGGUGGGCGGAAUUCGUGGUGUAGCGGUGAAAUGCUUAGAUAUCACGAAGAACUCCGAGUGCGAAGGCAGCUCACUGGACUGCAACUGACACUGAGGCUCGAAAGUGUGGGUAUCAAACAGGAUUAGAUACCCUUGUAGUC
rnacentral:rRNA from 1 species